rnacentral:rRNA from 1 species
CCUACGGGAGGCAGCAGUGGGGAAUUUUGGACAAUGGGCGAAAGCCUGAUCCAGCAAUGCCGCGUGCAGGAAGAAGGCCUUCGGGUUGUAAACUGCUUUUGUACGGAGCGAAAAGGCUCUCUCUAAUACAGGGGGCUCAUGACGGUACCGUAAGAAUAAGCACCGGCUAACUACGUGCCAGCAGCCGCGGUAAUACGUAGGGUGCAAGCGUUAAUCGGAAUUACUGGGCGUAAAGCGUGCGCAGGCGGUUUUGUAAGACAGGCGUGAAAUCCCCGGGCUCAACCUGGGAAUGGCGCUUGUGACCGCAAAGCUGGAGUGCGGCAGAGGGGGAUGGAAUUCCGCGUGUAGCAGUGAAAUGCGUAGAUAUGCGGAGGAACACCGAUGGCGAAGGCAAUCCCCUGGGCCUGCACUGACGCUCAUGCACGAAAGCGUGGGGAGCAAACAGGAUUAGAUACCCUGGUAGUCCACGCCCUAAACGAUGUCAACUGGUUGUUGGGUCUUUACUGACUCAGUAACGAAGCUAACGCGUGAAGUUGACCGCCUGGGGAGUACGGCCGCAAGGUUGAAACUCAAAUGAAUUGACGG